rnacentral:misc_RNA from 1 species
GGGCACUGGUCGUGAUUAAUCCAGGCAAUCCGACUGGACAGGUUCUUGCAGAGGAAAACCAAAGGGAAAUAGUUGAGUUUUGCAAAAACCAAGGUCUGGUUCUCCUAGCAGAUGAGGUAUACCAAGAAAAUAUUUAUGUCGACAACAAGAAAUUCAACUCUUUCAAGAAGAUUGCUAGGUCACUGGGAUAUGGCGAGAAUGAUCUUUCUUUGGUGUCAUAUCAGUCUAUUUCCAAGGGGUAUUAUGGCGAAUGUGGAAAAAGGGGAGGAUAUAUGGAGGUGACUGGUUUUAGCGCUGAUGUGAGAGAACAAAUUUACAAGGUUGCAUCUGUAAAUCUGUGUUCGAACAUAUCUGGUCAGAUACUUGCAAGUCUUGUCAUGAAUCCACCAGAGGUAGGAGAUGAAUCAUAUGAAUCUUACACCGCAGAGAAAGAUGGGAUCCUUUCUUCUUUAGCCAGGCGUGCAAAGGCAUUGGAA